AGUCGAGCGGUAGAGAGAAGCUUGCUUCUCUUGAGAGCGGCGGACGGGUGAGUAAUGCCUAGGAAUCUGCCUGGUAGUGGGGGAUAACGUUCGGAAACGGACGCUAAUACCGCAUACGUCCUACGGGAGAAAGCAGGGGACCUUCGGGCCUUGCGCUAUCAGAUGAGCCUAGGUCGGAUUAGCUGGUUGGUGGGGUAAUGGCUCACCAAGGCGACGAUCCGUAACUGGUCUGAGAGGAUGAUCAGUCACACUGGAACUGAGACACGGUCCAGACUCCUACGGGAGGCAGCAGUGGGGAAUAUUGGACAAUGGGCGAAAGCCUGAUCCAGCCAUGCCGCGUGUGUGAAGAAGGUCUUCGGAUUGUAAAGCACUUUAAGUUGGGAGGAAGGGUUGUAGAUUAAUACUCUGCAAUUUUGACGUUACCGACAGAAUAAGCACCGGCUAACUCUGUGCCAGCAGCCGCGGUAAUACAGAGGGUGCAAGCGUUAAUCGGAAUUACUGGGCGUAAAGCGCGCGUAGGUGGUUAGUUAAGUUGGAUGUGAAAUCCCCGGGCUCAACCUGGGAACUGCAUUCAAAACUGACUGACUAGAGUAUGGUAGAGGGUGGUGGAAUUUCCUGUGUAGCGGUGAAAUGCGUAGAUAUAGGAAGGAACACCAGUGGCGAAGGCGACCACCUGGACUGAUACUGACACUGAGGUGCGAAAGCGUGGGGAGCAAACAGGAUUAGAUACCCUGGUAGUCCACGCCGUAAACGAUGUCAACUAGCCGUUGGGAGCCUUGAGCUCUUAGUGGCGCAGCUAACGCAUUAAGUUGACCGCCUGGGGAGUACGGCCGCAAGGUUAAAACUCAAAUGAAUUGACGGGGGCCCGCACAAGCGGUGGAGCAUGUGGUUUAAUU
rnacentral:rRNA from 1 species